rnacentral:rRNA from 1 species
GACGUAGGAGGCGAGCGUUGUCCGGAUUCAUUGGGCGUAAAGAGCACGCAGGCGGUUUGGCAAGUCGGAUGUGAAAACCCGAAGCUCAACUUCGGGCCUGCAUCCGAAACUGCCCGACUAGAGGUAGGUAGGGGAGAUCGGAAUUCCCGGUGUAGUGGUGAAAUGCGUAGAUAUCGUAAGGAAGACCAGUGGCGAAGGCGGGUCUCUGGACAGUUCCUGACGCUGAGGCACGAAGGCCAGGGGAGCAAACGGG